rnacentral:rRNA from 1 species
CUGCGGUAGCUACCAUGCACUCGACGGCAGCACAGGAGAGCUUGCUCUCUGGGUGGCGAGUGGCGGACGGGUGAGGAAUACAUCGGAAUCUACCUUUUCGUGGGGGAUAACGUAGGGAAACUUACGCUAAUACCGCAUACGACCUUCGGGUGAAAGCAGGGGACCUUCGGGCCUUGCGCGGAUAGAUGAGCCGAUGUCGGAUUAGCUAGUUGGCGGGGUAAAGGCCCACCAAGGCGACGAUCCGUAGCUGGUCUGAGAGGAUGAUCAGCCACACUGGAACUGAGACACGGUCCAGACUCCUACGGGAGGCAGCAGUGGGGAAUAUUGGACAAUGGGCGCAAGCCUGAUCCAGCCAUACCGCGUGGGUGAAGAAGGCCUUCGGGUUGUAAAGCCCUUUUGUUGGGAAAGAAAAGCAGCCAGUUAAUACCUGGUUGUUCUGACGGUACCCAAAAAUAAACCGGCUACUUCGUGCCAGCAGCCGCGGUAAUAGAAGGUGCAGCGUUACUCGGAUU